GCCAUCCUUUCCUUGGGAUUGUGCUACUGUCCCAUGUGCGCAUAGUGAGGGCGGUACUGCUAAUGUCUGAGCAACACACCCGCAUCACCUACAGCUUUGCUUUACCUUGGUGCAAUUUUUGGAAAA
ensembl:snRNA